rnacentral:lncRNA from 1 species
AUGACGCGACGAAGUGAACCUUUUUCGUCGCGCAAGACCUCGCAAACAAAUUUCCGCUAAGUUUCCAAGGAGGAACAGAGUGAAAUUUGAAAGUUAUGGCUGGUAUGGCGCGACGACCUGUCUUGUUUUCGUCGCGCAACGCCGUCCUUGGCAGGCCUUGCGCGACCAAACACGUUUGUUCGUCGCGCAAACCCUUUACCCUAAACCCUAAACCCUAAACCGCAUAAACCCUCAACCCGAAACUAGUUUUCAUGAUCCAAC